AAAGAGGUUAGACAUAUUUUACAUGACAACAUCAAUUAUGUCAAUUGUGACCAAAUUAUCUUUUGUUUUUGUCGACCCAAAAUGGUUAUUGUUGUGGUUCCGGUGUAACGGUAUUCGAAAUAUUACGAAAAUAAUAACCAAUAGCUUGUGAAUCGCAAAAUAAAUUAAAUAUUAUACAAUAGUGAAGUGUGCAGUUGUUGCCUGCACCAACAAAACCCAAACAAAACUAGCGGGAAUUUCAUAUCACAAAUUUCCAAAAAAUCAUGAUUUAAGACCAAAAUGGUUAAACAGCAUUAACAGACCUAAUUUCCAUCACGAUACAGCUGCAUAUGUAGUGAUCAUUUUAAAAAGGAUUACAUUAAUUUAACAUUAUGCUUUCCGCGCAUCAAAGACAAUGCCUGCCCAUCUAUCCCGAAUUUAUCACCUGAGCAACAAGUAAGACAACCUUUGCAAGAAGUAAACCUUAAUCUGUUAUUAGAGAGUCAUGACAAUGCUGUUUCCCAAAAUGGAAUAUAAUUAGUAUUGUAUUGUAUUGUCAAAAACAUAUCUAAAAACUAA
rnacentral:lncRNA from 1 species